AACGUGGGUGGUUCGCCGCCGGCGAUGUCGCGAGAAGUCCAUUGAACCUUAUCAUUUAGAGGAAGGAGAAGUCGUAACAAGGUUUCCGUAGGUGAACCUGCGGAAGGAUCAUUG
rnacentral:rRNA from 1 species